GGUAAUUGAGUACUACUGGGACAUGGUUGUUAAUAAUAAUGGAUAACAGUCUUUAAGCUCAAGAAAUGGCUGUUGGUGAUGAUGGGAAAGACGCUCUCUUUUGCUUUGCAAAGUAACAGAGAGAGAGACAGAGAGAGAAAGGGCCUUAUCUAUCUGAUCUGAUGGGACACAGAAGAAAGCCAAUGGGAAGAGCUGAGAUUGGUGAGGACGUUGACAGAGGAUAGUCGCUCGCUGCCCA
rnacentral:misc_RNA from 1 species